UCGAACAGGUCAGAAGGCCAGUGGUUGGCAAGCUACAAAAGUGCAUACGGAAGUGACUAAGGGCAAUUGCGUAUAUUUGUCAUUCCGUUACGAAUCUUGGUACAUUAAGACUUCUAUAUAUUAUUAGGCUAUCUAACUACAAACCAAAGCAAGCACAAGAUUCUAAAAUCUGCUGUCGAUGUUUACAUAAGCAUUGGAUUGGAGAAGAAGACAUUAAAAUAUAUACCAUAAUGGACCGAAGUCGGACUCCUAGCAAUAGCAGUGUGGAGGUUGACGGAAUAAAUGCUUCAAGUUUUCGACCGACUACAAUUAAAGAAGCAGGCUAUGGGGGAUUUGGAGCGGACUGUCCUCGAAUUGAUCAGAACACACACUCAAUAGCAGCUGACAUGGGCCUAGGCCAAGGAAGCUCAGAAAUCACUCAACCGUCGGUAAAUGAAAUCGAAGCUGGAUUUGGCAACAUGAAAGUAAUAGAGCCAAGACGACGUAACGGAGAUUCUAUGAAUGAAAUAGUGCAAUUACAAAGUGUUCUUCCUAAAUUUCAAACAAGAAAUUACCCCCAGGAACACUCCGGACGUAAUAAUCGAAUGCAGAGUGAACAGAUAAUGCAAUACGAGCAAAUACAUAAUUAAUAUACAUUUAUUUCUCAUCUUUGGAUGUUACAAGGUUACGAUGCUCAGUAUUAACAUUUUAAUAUAAUACCAAAUGCUUUCUUUAAUCUUAUAUAUAUUUUAAUGAACGUUAAUAAAAAGAUUCUUAACAAUUACCGUAAUGAUUGGAAUAAUUAAAGUUCAAUGAGAUGCUUUAUUGGUUCGCUUGACAUUGCAUUCAUCAUGUGAUUUGAGGUUAAAUUAAUCAGAAACCAAUGUUUGGUAGUAAGACCAUGGAGGUAUAAGCAAUAUUUUUUUUAUGUUUAUUAUUUAUUUCUUUCACUCCAUGGUAUGACUUAGGCUAAAAAAGAACAAGAAUUGCAAAACAAGCGUUAAAUAACGGAGCAAAAUGCAUGAGGAUAUUUAGCAGUCACCAAAACAUGUUAAUUGUAUCAAUUAUAUUUCUGGUAUUGAUUGAUCAAUAUAAAUGUAAAUACAAUAAAUCUUGUAUAAUGAAUAUUUUAUCAUGAUUUAUUCUAAUUUGGUAUAUUAUCCUUUUACACCUAGGCCUAUUAUUUAGAUUAAUACUCUGCUAUUGAAAAAAGGGAAUACUGAGGGCGCUAUAUUUCACAAAUCCAGGAAUACCAUUGGGAUGAGAGAGGGGAUGUGUGGGAGGGCAAAAAUGGACCAACUGAGGUACAAUAUUUUAAUGUUUAUAUAAAUCUAUAAAAGGUCUAGUCCAUUUGAAAACGAAGAUUUUAUAAAAUACUUUAAUGGAUACCAUUUUGUAAAACAGAAAAGUCUUUUAAUUUAUCCAAACCCAGGUUGAGUUUGGAGAGUAAACAAUCAAUCACCUCUCUAUAGUCAUACAUACUGAUGAUUCAACAUAUUCAAAACAAUAAUAAACUAUUAAAAUGGCAAUUACAAAUGCAUUAUUUAAAUAAGGGGUUAUUCACACCACGUGUACGUGUGACAGCUGGUGCCAGCAAAAAAACCAAGAACCGACCUUUGUAUUAGUCACUCUGCGUAUUUAUCACAUCAAAGCCUAAAAUUCUAAUGUAAAAAUUAAGACUUGCUUCUUGUGAUGGGAACGGAAUUUUGAAGCUCAAUUUUCUGGUACUGGUAUCUAUGUAUGUUAUAGCGGCUAUUGUUCUAAACUAAUGGUUUGCAUUCCGAAAAUAAUCGGUAGCCAAGACUUUUUUUUCCAUAAUAGUAAUAGUACUGGCACAUUUUGAAAAGCAGUACAGUCCACAGUGUGCGAUAUCUUAUGCAGAAACGAAGGAUAGUUAAUAACAGCACCCAUGAUCAAAGUUGUACCGUAAACAAAGACUUGCACUGAAUAUUCACAAUGAAGUUGGCUUACAUACGGACACCACUCUUCUGAGCUACCGUAAUAUUUCAAUGUCUGUAUUCUGAUUGGAUUUCCUGGUAAUAUAUGUUUUUUGAAGAAUUACUUUGAAAUAAAGAGUUACGAAUCUUCAGUGAAUGACACUAACUAAAGCAUUAAUGUUGAUACGACACCGUCUUGUGUAUUGACGAAAGCACUAGCGAAGUUUGAACUCGACGAUUCCAGUAGCUACUAUUCAACGAUUGUCUUUAAUAAAUAUCAUAUAAAUAAAUGUAUGAUUCGACAACACUUUUAAAGCAACAGUAACUACAAACAUCCGUUACUUGAGAUAUGUGAAAAUGGCAGAUUCUGUGUCGAGUUCACCGGCUGAAAAAUCUCCAAUUCUGCCGCCCUACGACUACACGUCAACGGAAAGGGACCUAAACCUCAAGAAGUAUGAUAUACGACCAGUUGAGCCUCCACCGCCGUAUUUUUCAGACGAGGUAGUUGCGUCACAACCACGAUCGCAGUAUCGAAAUCUAAGGGGUGAGAGUAUCUCUUCCCAAGAUAACGAUGGAUGUUGCCCUGUAAGGGACAGUGGUUGGUGUGGUGCUGUAGGGCUUUCAGUCGCCUGUGCUACUUGUGUGUUUUGCCAGCUUUAAAGCAAAACUUGAAAGGCCAAGGAAGUCUGAAAAUCUAACAUAGGUUUAAUACACAAUAUAAAUAGGCCUACUGUAUGCAUUUUUUAUACUUGAAUAUAUUUUUGGUGUAGUUUGCUUGCAGUAUAUUGAAUAAAAUAACAUUUGUUAAUUUUUUAACAGAUGAAUCAACCUCCUAAAACCAAAGAUUUGUAUUCCAAUAGCUCCAGAACUUAACUAAAUCGUAAAACCUCGAAUAGGAGCCCUGGGCUUCUUUUUAAGGACCUGUUGAACAGGCUUCUUUUGGAGAUGGUUUCAUUUCGAGGUUAAUUUUGCAAACUAAAGAGGGGACUUCUGUUCAAAUUUUAAUAUUUGUAAUUGAAACUAUAAAACCGUAUAGGACUGCUGAAGACAAUUUUUAACAAUGAAAUUCAAAAUUCUGUUUAUAUUUUUGAAAACUCACAAAAAAUAAAAACAUUUUUUUCAAUUAGGUCUAUAAAGAUGAUCACAAUAUACCGCCGACAAUUCCCAAAACUACUAAAUAUAUACAUUAUAAAUCAUAUAAUAACAUUUCUGAUAUGAUUAUUUCCAUAAAACAACAAAUUUAGACCUGACAUUUAUUCAACGUGUGUAUAUUUUUAAUGUAUAUUAAUUAUAUCAUUAAGAUUGCUUAAAUUUAUAGGCCUAGCCGGUGGUGACUUCAACCCAACCAUGCUAAAAAGAUACUAUUCUCCAUUAAAUACAUGCAUGAAAUCCUGUUGACCAAAUCAAUUUGGUUUCAAUUUUCUAACCAUGCUAUACUGAUAGUAUACUGAUAUCUACACGCUAUUAGAAUCAUCAAACAUGACGUCAGUUGGAAUGAAAAAGAGGCCCAUUAGCUUGAUUAGAAGCCCAUGGGAUUCUUUUCAAGAGGAGCUUCUUUUCGAGAUUACUUUUGCAAACUAAAGUUGGGGGUUUGUUUUCGAGAUAGUCCUCUUCUCGAGAUUAUACCCUUUGGGCUUCUUUUCAAGGUUUUAAUGUAUAAUAGCGCUCGGCCAUUUGAGAUAGAUACCGGAUCUGCAAUUAUACAAAAAAAAAAAAAAAUAUGAUAAUGAGUUUUAGUAUUCAGGACCAUUUAAAAUUUUAAGAGCUACCUUGACAAGUUUUACUUUUCAACCAUAAGGCCGAGGGUUUUGGCUCAGUGCAUUUCGCUUUGUCCGUGGGCAAGCCCAUAUAAGUACAUAAAAUUGCCUCUUGUAGACUUAGAUAGCAUAGUAAGCCUAUCGCUUCAGUUCUAUUAAAUUUAAUUUAAUAUUAUUUCGUUGCUUUGAAUGCCAUCAAGAUCUUGUAGAAACAAGAGUGGCCGCUCCGGUCCGCGUGUUAAACUAAGCUGCCUCUAUUCAGCCUUUAAACGCUUCGUGUAUACACCUUUCAGACGAGGCUUUUUGUCGACACUAUUAAAACAUGCUUAAAUCAUGGAGGAAAUAUCCUCUAUGUUUAAACCCUGAUUUUUAACUGGAAGCCCCAAGCUUUUUUGCGUCAUGCUUCAUUUCAGCAUCAUGUGAUACUGCAGUUAAAUGAGCGCUACAUGCCAUGUCAUGCGUUUUACAUUGGAUCAAACACACUAGCAUAUGAAAUACUGUCAUGCUCAGCUUAAUGGGGGUUGCAGCUCGAACCCUAAGCGGUGCAUUUACGUCUAAAUCUACAGUCAGUUUCAGAUACAAAGUUUUUUGCCAUGGUGGCUGGAGUGGAGCAAGUUUUCCACCCACUGGAUCAGCCACUGACAAAAGUGUCUCCCUGAAAUCAAAAUUCAAUAUUCUAAUGUAAAGUGAAAAUGUUUUUAAUGUAUAUAAUUUUAGAUACACUCAUUUUAUGUAGUUAACAAUGAUUUAAAUAUUGGCCUAUUUAUAUUUAUGUACAAUUGCUUAAGCCUCCAUCGAGAGCCAUUAUUUGUGAAUUAGUUUACUUUUUGGCAAUUAUGAUGUCCUGGCCGGCGGUAUUUUGUAUAUUAAAUUCAUAAGGACUAAUUAAAUAAAAUGUAAUCAAUAAUUUGAAUAUUUUAUUUUCUUCUUGAUUACCAUCACUCCCGCUUUUUCCCCACAACAAUAGUCGGAAUCUGCACAUGGCCUGAGCAAAGAUAACACAUAGGAUAGGCCUAACAUGUCUCAAUUUUAUUGUUUCGUGAGAUAAUAGUACCUGCUAAAGUAACCAACUAAGCCUACUAUAAAAACAUCGUAUAUUCAAACCACACGUAUUAAAACGCCAGUUUUUAUGGUUUCUAACAACCUUUGACACUAUUGUUACAUAUCCAGUUAUGUUCUACGUGGAUGCUGUUAAAUUAAUAAAAGUUAUUUCAAUGUGGUUUGGCAUCAGAAUUUCAAAUCACCUAGAAGUGAUGAUUUGCCAAAGGCCUAUCUGACAUGGUACUGAAUACCGUCCGUUCCCAAAUGCUUGUAAAAAAAAUAUCGCAAGUGAUUCGGGUGGGAAUAGAACACACGACCUCCUGAUAACUACCCUAGUGCAAUAACCACUAGAACUGAGCUUGCACUGUGUAGUUUUGUAUAGUUUUGAAUUUGAUUCCCAAGUGGCAGUUGGUACUACAAUGCUGGUUUGAUGUUGAUUUUUUUUUUUUUUUGGGAACGUACAUUAUUUAGUAUCGAUAACACGCCAGGUAGGUAAAAACAUCACUUCUAUUAAUAAAAGUUAACCAAUAUUGGCAAAACGUAAUCAAAUUUGUAAGAAAACCUUGAAUCUAAAAUAAAUUUCGUAUGCGACUUAAUUCCUUUUACAAGCGAUAUGAUUUUGGGUCACAAUAUUUCCAGUAAAAUGCAUUCAGAGAUCUUUGUUGUUGGAUCAAUACUUGCCGCAUACGGCUAAUCAAUAUGCAAGGUGAUCCACACGCCUUUAUACUUGAAGACUACGUAGUUUGCAUUAAAGAAAUUAGCAUGGUUCGCAAAACCGGUAGGCCUAGUUACAUUGUAAUAAUAACAAUUUAGGCAGAGACGGAUGGUUGAUACAUAAGGCUAGACGAUGAGUUGGAUACUGAGAUGAGGUUUACGAAGCCCAUGGAGACUUGACGGGCGAUGGCUCGUCGCAAGAUGCCUAGGCCUUCUGUUCUCUGAGCACUGCAAAGAAAGCCAUAUAUUUUCUUGCAAAAGCAACAACGAUUGUAACAAUAAUAGUUUCCAGAACGGAAGUAUUUAAUCGACAGAUACUUAGAAUAUAGUAUACAACACAAGAGUCAAGAUGACAGAACUAAUAAUGGUGACAAUUAUUACAACCAAUCCGAUUGUGAUAGAAAAUAACGCCAUAGAUACAGACAAAGCAACUAAAAUCAAACCCUGAAAAUCUUUUCGUAUAUUAUUCAAAGGAUUUAAAAUGGAAACAAGUGAAAAGGACACUAAAAACGACGACAAUGAAACGAAAAAGAAUGAUUUGGACAACAAUAAUAUAAAUAGCCAGCAUUUGACACCGAUAGGGAAGGGUGAUGGUCCGAUACGGGAGGGUGAAAACCAGUUGCCUAUCACUAUACUUCCAAGAAGUGUUUCGCGCAAUACAGUUUGCGUCAUCGAUGAUGAGAGACGCGUUAGACAGGAACCAAAUGACUAUCGAGGAAGCAUUUACCGCAUCCCAUUUAUUGCUGCCAUAUGUGAAUGUUGCACUUGCUCGCCUCGAGAAGGUGUAGUUGAUUAAGGUUACGUCGGCGAUUUUGGAAGUCAAGUGAUAAUUUGACUAACAUUAAACAAUGCGUUAACAACGCAUUUAAAAAAAUCAUGUGACGCUUUAUGUAUAUGCCAGAUAGUAUUUUGACAAGUAACUUAUUUAUGAUCGACAUCUCAGAAAAGUGCGUCUAUAAAAAGUUGGCGCUAAAAAAAAUUGGUAAAUACAACAAUUACAUAUUUAUUACCGGUACUGCUAGUAUAUUACAGUGUGCUAAUAAUGAAUACAGCAAUAAUCCAGAUACAAAUACGUAUGAACUUCUUGAAGUUAAUGUUAUCAAACUCGAGACUUAAGCCAUGAGAAGCAAAGAAAAAUAUAAUGGUCCAGCGGGGUUAAGGCAGGGCCCCCGUCGUGGAGAGCUCCUUAAAGCCCCUUCCUACCCGCCACCCCGCCACCCCCCCCCCUGUAGGUGUUAUAAAUCGUCGGGGAGAAAAGAAUGUAUAUUUACUUUUUACAUAUUACUGAGACCCAAAAUGGAUAGAUAAGCCUUUAAAACCCCUAAACUGUCAUAUUUUGCGGGGUCUUCGCCGUCUCUCGGGCAAAUCCUUGCACCACCACUGUUUUUGUUUUGUUUUGGCAAAGCAUAUAUAUUUGGUUUUCCUUAAACAAUGCGUUUACAAAGCGAAGUGACGCUUUAUACGUCUGAUACUUUAUAGACUAUCCACUCAUUAUGGUGGAAAGAACAAUGCUUUCAUAUGACGAUUGCGCUUUUUUUUUCAUAACAAUUUCUGUGUAUUUACAGGAAUUACACAUUUAUAUAUUUAUAUUUAAAACCUACUGUAUGCUAUAAUAAUGAAUACAGUAAUUCUUCAAUUAUAUCGCAGCUAUCAACAUAACGUUAUUAACGUUAUUAUAACGUCAUAAUAGCUUUGCCGUUUGGUAUUCAAAGUGUUUAUUUUUUGCAGAAACAAAUUCAUCCGACUAAAUAACGCUGCAAACGCUGCUGUAACGCUGUGCUACCGUUACUUUAUUUCUGACAUAACCUAACGACAAAGCUACCAACGUUUCCAAAUGCUAUGACAUAUUAAAUUACAUUUUUUUUCGUGCUUGCUGAUAAAGCACCAAACGUUGAAACGAACACAGGCUUUGAACGAAGCAAAAUAAAUUACAGUAAACCAUGACCCUAAGCUUACUCAUACCGUGUAUCAAUGUGUAUAUAUGCAAAUAUUUAUUUUACAGUAUGUUAAUGUAGAAACCGUACAGGUGUUAAAAUAAUUUAAAAACUAGAAAUUGCAAAUUGCAAGUGAAGUGCUGCGAAGUACA